GUUAUGGCCAUAUCACCUGAACACACCUAAUCGUGUCUGAUCACAGAAGCUAAGCAGAGUCAGGCCUGGUUGGUACUUGGAUGAGAGAAUACACUUGAUAUUUCUUCAUUAGUACCAGGGAAUCCAUCAACU
rnacentral:rRNA from 1 species